rnacentral:tRNA from 2 species
GUUAGGGUGGCAGAGCCAAGUUAUGCAAAAGACCUAAGAUCUUUCUAACAGAAGUUCAAAUCUUCUCCCUAACC